CAAAGUGUAUUAAUGUAUUUAUCCUCCUCCUCCCCACAAAAGGGAAGAGUAAAGGCUCAGAUGUCAUUUUUUAGUGCCUUGGGCAGUGUGACCUCGCUGUAAACAGGGAACUGGUCUCUCCACUUUUGCUCUGUUUUGGCUGAGCUCCUUUUAGUGGGCUGAUGGCAAUGACUGGCCUUUAAGGAGGGCAAAUUAGGUCACAUGUCUGUGACUCACAGGUAGUGCAGUAUCCCUUAGUACUUGGGCAGCAUAACCACCCUGUCUCCAGGGUUCAGGUUUCUGCCCUUUAUUCUUUUGCCACCAUGCUACUUCAGCCGGUUGGUUUGAGUCCUGACACUGUAAUUAGGGGAGAGUUGGUGUCUCUCUGGCUUCUGGGGGAUAUUGAGUUCUUUGGUAACUUGAGCAAUGUGACCCCCCUGUAACUAGGGUCCAGGUCUUUGCCCACUUGCUCGUUUGCCAUUAUGCCACGCUCUGGCCCACUAGUCAGCGUGACAACCCUGUAAUUAGGGUCCAUGUCACAAGUAUCUACAGAAUGGGACAUAUUGAGCGCUUUGAUACUUUGAGGAGUUUGACCUUUCUGUAAAUCAGGAUACGGUCUCUGCUAUUUGGCUAAUCCCAGUGACCACCCUGUAAUCAGGGUACAGGUUCCAUCUCCCUUUUGAAAUCUGGUGGAUUAGAACCAUGGGCAGCUUGACCUCCCUGUAAUUAGGGUUUGGUUUCCAAGGCCCUUUGGGUCUCUUGACAUUGUGCUGUCUUCACUGCCUGAGGCGAAUGACUGCCCUGUAAUCAGGGAAUCUGCUCUUGGCCUUCUGGUCUCUUGUCACUAGGCCAAGUAAGCCAGCUGGUCUGAAUGAGCACCCUGUAAACGGGGUACAGGUCUCCUCAGACACUAUUUGUGGUGCCCCCAUGAAACUGUGUCCAGAGUCCUGGCCCUUCACACUGCGCUUCCAACUUGCCUGGAAUUCUGCAGCCAAGUCUCCUGCUUUCUUCCCUGCUUACUGUGCUCCUGGAGACCCGACAUCCUGCUCCUGUUGCAGGCAGCUCUAAGCACAAAUGGACAAGAAGGAAGUGUCAGGAAUGUGAAGCAAAGAGGAGGAAAGAGGACAAGUCACUGAAGAUGAAGAAGGAAAGGGACUCUGGGCACAGUAACCUCCCUGUAAUCAGACCUGAGGUCAUGUAGUGACACGGUACGGGAAUCUCUAGCCUUGUAAUCCCUUGAGCAGCGUGACCGCCCUGUAAGCAGGGUCCAGGUCAGUGCUGUUUUGUCCUUUUGACAUUAGCUCCGUAAGCUGACUAGUUAGAGUGACUGCCCUGUAAUCAGGGUACAAGUCACACCCCCUCGCUUUCGAGGGACAUUGAGGAGUUUGGUAACUUGAGCAAUGUGACCGCCCUGUAACGAGGGUCCAGGUCUGUGCUGUUUUGUCCUUUUGACAUUAUGCUCCGUUAGCUGGCUAGUGAGAGUGACUGCCCUGUAAUCAGGGUGCAAGUCACACCCCCCUCGCUUUCGAGGGACAUUGAGCUCUUUGGUAACUUGAGCAAUGUGACCCCCCUGUAACUAGGGUCCAGGUCUUUGCCCACUUGCUCGUUUGGCAUUACGUCUUUCUCUGGUCCACUAGUCAGUGUGACAAUCCUGUAAUUAGGGUGCAUGUCACAAGUAUCCAUAGAAUGGGACAUAUUGUGCCCUUUGAUACUUUGAGGAGCUUGACAUUCCUGUAAUUCAGGUUACGGUCUCUGCUAUUUGGCUAAUCCCUGUGACCACCCUGUAAUCAGGGUACAGGUUGCAUCUCUCUUUUGAAAUCUGGUGGAUUAGAACCAUGGGCAGCUUGACCUCCCUGUAAUUAGGGUUUGGUCUCCAAGGCCCUUUGGGUCUCUUGACAUUGUGCUGUCUUCACAGACUGAGGCGAAUGACUGCCCUGUAAUCAGGGAAUCUGGUCUUGGCCCUCUAGUCUCUUGUCACUAGGCCAAGUGAGCCAGUUGGUCUGAAGGAGCACCCUGUAAAUGGGGUACAGGUCUCACCAGACACUAUUUGUGGUGCCCCCAUGAAACUGUGUCCAGAGUCCUGGCCCUUCACACUGCGCUUCCAACUUGCCAGGAAUUCUGCAUCCAAGUUUUUUUGGUUUUUGCCCUGCUUACUGUUUUCUUGGCCACCCGUCAUCCUGCUGCUGUUACUGAAUUUCAAACGGCAUUGCCAGUCUGUUAUAACUGUCUUGCACAUUCUUUACAUCCUCUUAAGAGAAUGGGACAAAACAGAAGCACCCAACCUAAAAACAAGAAAAGAGAUGUUAACCACCUGUGAAGAAGAAGAAAGGAAACAAAUUCUGAAAGCAAAGUAUGAUCUAUUUCAAAGGUUUAUACCAUGUCCAGCACCAGAGUCUAUAAAUGCAUUGGAAGAUAAAUUGAACGUGACUAGUAUCUGUCACCUUUCAAAUGCUGAUUAAUGUUAAUAGGCUGUAUAUAACGAAUCCUGAAGCUCAAUUACUUGUGGUACCACAACACUGAAAAGUGGAGAACAGUUCCCUUCUGCAACCUUUCAAUUCAGUAACUAUCUGUGCCACAUGAGAACUGAUAUGUCAUCUUAUUUUAUAAAGAUGUAUGUCCUCUCAAACUGUCUUUUCUAAUGAGUCCAUAAACCAUGCUUUGUGCAUCAUACUUUCACAUUCUGGUAGAAAGGCAGGAUGUAUCUUUUUUAUUUAAUUCAUGAAACUUAAUCUUUCCCAGGCUUUCACGAGUCAUUUCCAUGUCAUUGCUUGAUGAUUUGGGCUUCUGUUUAGCAAGCAGUCAGACUUACUUUUAUAAAGUCUCUGUUUGCUAUUUUAGAAAAGUUAUUUGACAAUGAUAGAAGAAAACUGAGAUGUUGGGUGUGGGUGGCCACCCUGAAGAGUGUUGGAAGACCUUUUCCACGAGGUACACUAUUAAUAUUUCUCCCAGCUCAUAAGAAAACCUAUUUUUGAUACCAAAAUAGUACCACAGCUAUGAUGCCAUAUGGAAUUUAAGUUUCUACCAAUCACCAAUUAGAAAUUGUCAGUAGAACUGGUUAUUUGCAUCUAAAUGUUGAUUUCAUGGACCUCUGUAACCAAGUAUUUAAAAUGUGUUUUAACAAGUGACUACCUGAUUUUAUGUAAAAUAGUUGUAUACAUCUUAGCAGAUGUGUUCCUUUGACUUAAGUGUGUGACUUUUACAUAGUUGGGAGACUAAUGCUUUAUGUACUUUUUGUUUUUACUAACAGGUUUGUCUCUAGGCACAAAGGAAUAAUUGUGAAUCUGUAAUACAGAGACCUUAAUCACACAAGCACUAUAAGAUCAUAGCUUACUAUUAUUAAAAAUACAUCAUAAUUUCCUACUGGACGUGCAAAGGUGUAACUGAAGGGAAGGCAUGUGUUUGUAUUCUCCACUCAUCCCCAAUUCCCCCCCAAAAAAUUCAAAAAUAGUUAAGGUGGAAAGAUUAACAUUUACUCCAGAUAACACCUACCUUAAUAUUUUAAAGCUCUGUAUCUCUCACACAUUGGUAAAAACAAGCAAACAAAAUUAAAUGUUCUGGAAACUGGCAAUUACUCCCCCAACUUCACAACUUUCAAACACCUACUCUACUUCAACGAUCACGCCAACCAAACUGUACCACACAUUCAGUUUUAACUUUGCACCUAUUGUGUCAGAACAGUUAGAGUAUUUUUUGGUAGUUGUGUAUAUUGAUGUACGUGGUAAUAGUGGUGUUUUGAUGGGUUUUUAUGCUUACUGAAUUAAGAGGCUGUUCGAGGAUGAUGAUGUGGAUGUUUUAUGUAGGUAUUUUUCUGUUAAGUUAGUAUUUGUGUAGGGGUGCAGUAUUUUGUGGUGAUGACUGUUUUUCAGGUAUUGGUUUAGUGUGAAUUGUUGAAAAAUUUAGAUGAUUUUUGCAUAUGUACAUUAUUAGAUGUAUUUAGAGGGCAAAGUUGAGGUUGCCUGUUUGGUGCAAUUUUAUUGGUAUGAAAGUUAAUUUAGAGUACAUGUUUGAAAGCCCUGAGGUUUGAAUUUUAAACUCAACAAGGAUCCAGGACCCACCUUGGUUCUUACUGUCAUUCCUAAUUCCAAAAUCUGGGAUGGAGAUGACGCGGCAGAAUAAAGAUAUCUCCAGAGACUUUCAAGAGUUUAGCAUUUCUGCAGCUUUAUGGGAUUCCUUAAACCUUAUUGAGCUUUUUAAAGCGUAAUAAUUGUGGGAAACUUCUACUUCUGACAGUUAAGUGUUGAACAAUGACCUAUAUUAAGAGAUUUAUACUGGUAGUUAAUUCUGUUCUGUACUAAGACGAUUUUGCUAAUAUCUCUACUUUAUGAUGUAUGAAAUGAAUUAACUAGGUUUGAAUAUACCUACUUGAUAAAAAUUUAAAUAUUUCAUGUUAAAUUCAUAGAUUUAACUUUCACUGUCAUAUCACCUUACUUUGCUUUCUGUAACUCUUAUUUAAUAUUUUAAUAUUUACGUAAUACAAUAAAUAAAACGUAAACAUUC